rnacentral:rRNA from 1 species
CCCUUAGAUGUUCUGGGCCGCACGCGCGCUACACUGAUGCAUUCAACGAGUUUCUUCCUGGUCCGAGAGGAAUGGGUAACCUUUUGAAAGUGCAUCGUGAUAGGGACAGACUAUUGCAAUUAUUGGUCUUCAACGAGGAAUUCCUAGUAGACGUAGUUCAUCAGACUGCAUCGAUUACGUCCCUGCCCUUUGUACACACCGCCCGUCGCACCUACCGAUUGAAUGUUUCGGUGAAGAUUCCGGAUAGGACUUUUUUGAUUUAUUUCAAUUUUGUCUUAAAAGCUAUCUAAACCUCAACAUUUAGAGGAAGGUGAAGUCGUAACA